ensembl:lncRNA
GAUAUAGAUAGAAAGUGGGGGUUUCCUUUUGUUUGUUUGUUUUUAACAUAUUUAUUUUAUCUUUUGGCCGUGGUGAGUCUUCAUGAUGCAGGUGGGCUUACCCCCAUCAGUUGUAGCCAGUCUUCCACUUAAAGGAGACUGGGGACAUAGUAGGUACCAGGUGGAAUUCACUUUCCGGCAAAAGUGGUGAUUGGAUGCUACGGGCUUCCCAGGACAGCAAGGGGAGAGUUUCUGGUUUCUGUUGCCCAGUUCUGAGUGAUCUGGAGUUGAUCCUCUGUGGACUGAAUCGCUUGGACUCCCAGGAGGAGGUAUUUUCCUGUCUUGUUUGAGUUGCAUUUCUGGAAGUGACGCCUACCUUCCACAGCACCGGCUGCUAUCCUGGGCCCCUCCUCUGUGGCCCCAGCUUUCCUGGCCUUUCCCCUUCAGCCCUGAAGGACAAGAGAACUGGAAAAUGUAUUCAGAACAGUGUCAGCAUCAGCGAGGCCACGGGUCGGUUUCAGGAAGGGCUGAUCUUUAGCUCCUGUCACCUACUGUGGCCAGUUGGAUUUGCUCUCUGUCCUGCUAACAGAGCACAUGGACACCAAGCAAGGGAUCUGCUGCGGCAGGUGGCCAGAGCCCCAGGCCGUCCUCUAGACUGCUGACAUGUGUGGUUUGAACUCCUUUGCCCAAACACAGACUAAAUGAUAAAAUACAUAUCAGUGUGGGCUACCUGGUAUUUUUCUCUGUCAUCUUUGUAAUCAAGCAUGAUUGAAGAAGCACGAAGUAGCAGGUGGCCCACACAGCGUCACCAGCUGCACAUGCUGGGCCUGUGCUUUCAAAGAUUUGCUGCAGAUUCCGGAAUCCAUCUUCCCACCGUGGGACAGGACUUGUCACAAAUAGCUUGGAUUUAUGGAUGUGCUUCUGCUGCAGAAAUCGUUUCACCUUUUGAGGUUUUCUAUAAGAAUUUCAACUUCCCGGUUUCCACUUCUGAGAUCCACCUUUUAAAAAAGUAAAUCAUUAAUUGAUCUUCCGGUGUUUGGACCAUGCCCAUGGCAGCAUUGUGGAGCAUGUAGGUGAAUGCUACAAUUUAGAGGCAAUUCAGAAGCAAUUCAAUCAACUUAUCUCUUUAAACACACUCCUACACCUCUGUGUACUCUCCUACACAU